UAAGGAAUAUUGGACAAUGGCCGCAAGGCUGAUCCAGCCAUGCCGCGUGCAGGAAGAAGGACCUAUGGUUUGUAAACUGCUUUUGAACUAGAGAAAACCCCCCUUCGUGAAGGGGGCUGAUAGUAUAGUUAGAAUAAGCAUCGGCUAACUUCGUGCCAGCAGCCGCGGUAAGACGAAGGAUGCAAGCGUUAUCCGGAUUCAUUGGGUUUAAAGGGAGCGUAGGCGGAUUGGUAAGUCAGUGGUGAAAUCUCGCAGCUUAACUGCGAAACUGCCAUUGAUACUGCUGAUCUAGAGUACAGUUGCCGUUGGCGGAAUAUGACAUGUAGUGGUGAAAUACUUAGAUAUGUCAUAGAACACCGAUUGCGAAGGCAGCUAACGAAGCUGUAACUGACGCUGAGGCUCGAAAGUGCGGGGAUCAAACAG
rnacentral:rRNA from 1 species